ACACAUGCAAGUCGAGGGGCAGCAUGGUCUUAGCUUGCUAAGGCCGAUGGCGACCGGCGCACGGGUGAGUAACGCGUAUCCAACCUGCCUUACACUCUUGGACAGCCUUCUGAAAGGGAGAUUAAUACAAGAUGUUAUCAUGAGUAAGCAUUUUCGCAUGAUUAAAGGUUUACCGGUGUAAGAUGGGGAUGCGUUCCAUUAGAUAGUAGGCGGGGUAACGGCCCACCUAGUCUUCGAUGGAUAGGGGUUCUGAGAGGAAGGUCCCCCACAUUGGAACUGAGACACGGUCCAAACUCCUACGGGAGGCAGCAGUGAGGAAUAUUGGUCAAUGGACGAGAGUCUGAACCAGCCAAGUAGCGUGAAGGAUGAAGGUUCUAUGGAUUGUAAACUUCUUUUAUACGGGAAUAAACGAAUCCACGUGUGGAUUUUUGCAUGUACCGUAUGAAUAAGGAUCGGCUAACUCCGUGCCAGCAGCCGCGGUAAUACGGAGGAUCCGAGCGUUAUCCGGAUUUAUUGGGUUUAAAGGGAGCGUAGAUGGGUUGUUAAGUCAGUUGUGAAAGUUUGCGGCUCAACCGUAAAAUUGCAAUUGAUACUGGCAGUCUUGAGUACAGUUGAGGUAGGCGGAAUUCGUGGUGUAGCGGUGAAAUGCUUAGAUAUCACGAAGAACUCCGAUUGC
rnacentral:rRNA from 1 species